rnacentral:rRNA from 1 species
UACGGAAGGUCCGGGCGUUAUCCGGAUUUAUUGGGUUUAAAGGGAGCGUAGGCCGGAGAUUAAGCGUGUUGUGAAAUGUAGGCGCUCAACGUCUGCACUGCAGCGCGAACUGUUUUCCUUGAGUACGCACAAAGUGGGCGGAAUUCGUGGUGUAGCGGUGAAAUGCUUAGAUAUCACGAAGAACUCCGAUUGCGAAGGCAGCUCACUGGAGCGCAACUGACGCUGAAGCUCGAAAGUGCGGGUAUCGAACAGG